rnacentral:tRNA from 1 species
UUUUUAAUUUAUAUUGAUUUUGAAAAUCUUUAAUGGUGAUACACCUUAAAGUG